rnacentral:tRNA from 1 species
GAGGGUACAGCUCAAAUGGUAGAGCACAUGCUUAGUAUGCAUGAGGUCCUGGGUUCAAUCCCCAGUACCUCCU